ACUCCUACGGGAGGCAGCAGUGGGGAAUAUUGCACAAUGGGCGCAAGCCUGAUGCAGCCAUGCCGCGUGUAUGAAGAAGGCCUUCGGGUUGUAAAGUACUUUCAGCAGUGAGGAAGGCGGAGUCGUUAAUAGCGGCCUCGUUUGACGUUAGCUGCAGAAGAAGCACCGGCUAACUCCGUGCCAGCAGCCGCGGUAAUACGGAGGGUGCGAGCGUUAAUCGGAAUUACUGGGCGUAAAGCGCAUGCAGGUGGUUUGUUAAGUCAGAUGUGAAAGCCCGGGGCUCAACCUCGGAAUUGCAUUUGAAACUGGCAGACUAGAGUACUGUAGAGGGGGGUAGAAUUUCAGGUGUAGCGGUGAAAUGCGUAGAGAUCUGAAGGAAUACCGGUGGCGAAGGCGGCCCCCUGGACAGAUACUGACACUCAGAUGCGAAAGGCU
rnacentral:rRNA from 1 species